rnacentral:rRNA from 1 species
UACGUAGGGUGCGAGCGUUAAUCGGAAUUACUGGGCGUAAAGCGUGCGCAGGCGGUUCGUUAAGUUCGUUGUGAAAUCCCCGGGCUCAACCUGGGAACUGCAUUCAAAACUGUCGAGCUAGAGUAUGGUAGAGGGUGGUGGAAUUUCCUGUGUAGCGGUGAAAUGCGUAGAUAUAGGAAGGAACACCAGUGGCGAAGGCGACCACCUGGACUGAUACUGACACUGAGGUGCGAAAGCGUGGGGAGCAAACAGG